rnacentral:rRNA from 1 species
UUCCGGUUGAUCCUGCCGGACCUGACUGCUAUCGGAUUGAUACUAAGCCAUGCGAGUCUUUGUAGUAAUACAAGGCAGACGGCUCAGUAACACGUAGUCAAUCUACCCUAUGGACGGGGAUAACCUCGGGAAACUGAGAAUAAUACCCGACAGAUCAUAAUGCCUGGAAUGGUUUAUGGUUCAAAUGAUUUUUCGCCGUAGGAUGGGACUGCGGUCUAUCAGCUUGUUGGUGAGGUAAUGGCCCACCAAGGCUAUAACAGAUACGGGCUCUGAGAGGAGAAGCCCGGAGAUGGGUACUGAGACACGGACCCAGGCCCUAUGGGGCGCAGCAGGCGAGAAAACUUUGCAAUGUGCGAAAGCACGACAAGGUUAAUCCGAGUGUUUUCUGCUAAAGAAAUCUUUUGUUAGUUCUAAAACCACUAUCGAAUAAGGGGUGGGCAAGUUCUGGUGUCAGCCGCCGCGGUAAAACCAGCACCUCAAGUGGUCAGGAGGAUUAUUGGGCCUAAAGCAUCCGUAGCCGGCUAUGUUAGUUUUCGGUUAAAUCCAUGUGCUCAACAUAUGGGCUGUCGAGAAUACUGCAUAGCUAGGGAGUGGGAGAGGUAGACGGUACUCGAUAGGAAGGGGUAAAAUCCUUUGAUCUAUUGAUGACCACCAGUGGCGAAGGCGGUCUACCAGAACACGUCCGACGGUGAGGGAUGAAAGCUGGGGGAGCAAACCGGAUUAGAUACCCGGGUAGUCCCAGCUGUAAACUAUGCAAACUCAGUGAUGCAUUGGCUUGUGGCCAGUGCAGUGCCGCAGAGAAGUCGUUAAGUUUGCCGCCUGGGAAGUACGUACGCAAGUAUGAAACUUAAAGGAAUUGGCGGGGGAGCACCACAAGGGGUGAAGCCUGCGGUUCAAUUGGAGUCAACGCCGGGA